rnacentral:rRNA from 1 species
CAGUCGCCGCGGGAAUACGUAGGGUGCAAGCGUUGUCCGGAAUUAUUGGGCGUAAAGAGCUCGUAGGCGGUUUGUCGCGUCUGCUGUGAAAUCCCGAGGCUCAACCUCGGGCUUGCAGUGGGUACGGGCAGACUAGAGUGCGGUAGGGGAGAUUGGAAUUCCUGGUGUAGCGGUGGAAUGCGCAGAUAUCAGGAGGAACACCGAUGGCGAAGGCAGAUCUCUGGGCCGUAACUGACGCUGAGGAGCGAAAGCGUGGGGAGCGAACAGGAUUAGAUACCCCUGUAGUCCCUGUCUCUUAUAA